CUUUGAUUUGCCUUUGUUCUGACAGUAGCAAACAGCUGCUUGUAAAUGAGCCACAGUCCCUGGGCUGCCUCCCAUUAUUCCACACUUUUGUUUGACAAGGUCACUUGCUGUGGGGAUUUUGGGGAGAUAGAGUGUGCAGCCUAUAGAAUUAGAGUUAAACCACAGGCAACCCAGCUUGAAUGCUCUUAUUUUUUUUUUUCAUAGUGCCAGCAAAGCAAGAAUAACAAAGAGAAAAUCUUUUGCUCUGUGAGCAAGUCAAACUUUUCUUUUUCCCAGUGUUGAUUUCAUAAUCCUAAAACUAUCUUAUAAAAAGCAAGUCAUGUUUCCAUAAAUCCCCUUUCAUUCAAAUCUUAACAGAAUUUAUAUAAAAGAUGUAUUUAAUUACAAAACAGGAUUAACAAAAACAGAUUAAUAUUUUUUUUUUAUCUAUCGCUACAAUUCAUUAUGAGACAACACAAAGCUAUACAGCUAACAGCAACUCUGACAAAUGCUGAAGAAAUGCUAAGAAACAAUCUGAAAGAUUUAUGCCAGUUUCCACAGGAAAUUGAUUUAUUUUUGAUAGGAACCGAGACAGACCAGUCUUCCAGAAAGACAAGCGUCUCAUAAACAAAUUAUGGCUAUGAUAGCUGCCCAUUUAAGGACUAGGAGACAUUUCUUUGACUUGGAAGUUUUAUAGUGGUGAAUUAAACUGUAAAAUCAGUAUACAAUGACAUUAAGAUACUAUCUAGUGCUAUCAAAUCAUCCUGAAACAUUCAUUUUCCAUUUUGACCUGUGAUCUUAAAGACAGUGAAAGCUGUCAUUUAGGAUAGCCUGUUUCUUUGUGACAAUUGUUGCUUUUGAAGCCAUGCAAAAACAAGGAAUAGGUGGCAAAUACUCAAAGGAAUGGCUGGUACUAUGGGAGGAGACAGCCAGUAGCAGUUUUCAACCACAAAUGAAUCACUGCAGAGUGCUUACAAAAUUUGCAAGUGAAGAAAGAAGAGGUUCUAACUUUAGAAAUGUUUUUCAGACUCUUCAAGAAGGGUCACUGAAAACAAUGAAUGGAAAUCAGUCCAAAAACCCUCCACAGAAGCCAAUUGUGCUAUGCCAAAGGGACAGUCGCAAUUGUUCAGAUUUUUAUCUCAUCAGCUCAAAAAGUAGCUCAGCUCUUCCUGCUCUUAAUUGUUUGUUUCCUAGUUUUUUGUUAAGCCACUGGAAGAAAUAAUGUUUUAAUCACAAAGGCAUCCACAUUAAAAGAAAAAGGUAUAGACAUUACUGUAAUCUUUGUUUUAACUUCCAAGGCAUGCAGUGUUCUUAAAAGAAAAGCAAAGACUACUGUUAGGUACAUAAGUUUACACAUCUUCCCUGGACAGACUAGAAACUGGCUGAACUUAAAAGAUUACAUUUAUAACCUCAGGAUAGGUGGUUUUCUAGUCUCUACCCUCUUUCAGCUGCUUCAGCUUAAAUCUCACUCUUCACCACAAAUCCUUCAAUAGCCACCUAUGUGCAGACAAGUCUUUCCAAGUUUCUAUUGGAAGGAGCUCCUCAUUGUCAAAUAGCAGUUACGAACUGCAUAGUACGUGACAUAUCUGAAAUAUCUAACAGAAUUACACUUGAAUUAUCAAUUGCUAACAAGCAGUUAACAACAACAAAGUUUAAUGAUAAUUCAUGAUGACAACACCCACUUCUCAAUAAAGCACACUGGAAACAUUCUGGUAGUCGACUGCUGGAGUGCAGGACAGGAGGUUGUUAGCCUCAUUUGUAUUCAAAGGCAGGCAAAUCACUAAAACUCAUUUACAUCCUUCCAUCUUUCUUAGUGCAUGUCAACAGCAGGUGGUCUAUCGAUACUACCUUUGAAAUAAGUAGGUGGUUUAAAUUGCCUUCAAAUUUCAGUAAAAACCCUGAAUUAUAGAAUAGACCUUGAGUCUUAACUUUUCUGUUUUCUUUGUGUGGGCUGUAAUAGAACAUGGGUAAGUACAGCACUUCCUCUGUUCAUAUAUCAAUCUACAUUAAAAGAUAAGUUUUAUACUUAAACCUAGUCGACUUAACUUUGAAUGUUAGCAACGACUUGCAGACAUGACCACCUCAGCAAAGUGAAUUACAGAAAUUUCCAAAGGUAUGAGUAAAGCAAAAGAAAGGACUUCUGUGGAUGAUUUUUUUUUCUAAAUGUAUGCAGUUUUAGGAUAAGCAGAUGAAGACCGGCCCUUGAAACCUCUGAUGCACACGUUUAAGUUUUCCUGCUGCUAGACCAUUGGAAACUACUACUUUGAAUAGAUUACUUUCAGUACACACUUCCAGGGACAUAUGUCUCCUAUUUUUCUUUGUGGCACUGUGACUAUUCCUAAAAGACAGUUUAAAAACACAAAUGUCUGUUGUCAAUCAGGACCAAUUUCUGAUGAAGUGAGAAGAAACACCGCCUGAGACAGGAAUCAAGGACAUCUUCAUUCCCAAAAGAAUACACAGCCAGCAGUAAGCAACAUCACAAAUGUGUUUAUACAAAACCAGAAUAGAUUAAAGUAACUAAAACCAGCAUUUGGUUGUUUUUCCUCUGUGAUGUUCGCUUUCACAUUCUGACAACUCCCUCAGAAUUUCUGUGAAAUUCAGUGUCCAUCAAAAUUAAUACUUUGAUGUCUGGCUUCAAACUUCUAUAAAGAAUGCUGUCUUUUGAAAACAAACACAGAGGUCAGUAAUAACUCCCCAGACUGUGCAGAUUAUAGUAAAUUAGCUCCCACAUUUUAGAGAAUGGGCACAGAAAGCAUGAUAGAAUGUCCCAGUAUCCCUGAAAGAAAAAGCUGGGGUCAGUCCCCACAAAUCCAUUGCAAUAUGAGAGCGCCUGUUUACUACUGCAUCCAUCCUCAUUUAACUGUUAGAAAAAUUGAACAUGCACAAUUCAUUUACAGACUUAAAAAACAUUUGAUAGCUUGUAAAUAUACAUUUUUGGUUGUACAGCGGGGAUUUUUCGAUGCAAAAAGAGGUCGGCAUGCUGAAGAUGCCCCCCACGGUAUGAAACAUAAGGGAGCACAUACUUUACACGGAGUUAAAAGAUUGUUUAAAGACCAGGACAGUCAUUAAGCUGUAUUUACUGUCUAGACAGGAAUAGCUCCACCUAACCAUUCCCAAAGGUUGUUAGCAUUUCUAAAAAUUAAGCAGCAGCAGGAAAAGGUUAAGAUCAACUUACUAAUUAAGUUACACUCACAGAAAUCUGGAGAGGGGAAGGGAAUGCAAGUCUGAAUGACAUCCCUGGGUUUGAGUAUCAGUCCUCAAAUACAGGUCUUCCUGCACGAAGGGAAGCCAUAGGUCUGUGUGCAAGUUUGAUCCCCAGUCACAGGACUGCACAAAAACCCUACGAGCUUGAGACAGACAAAAGAAACCCCUUGGAGUUUAUCUAAAUUACUGGUAGGCACAAGCACUGUUUUUAAUUUUAUUUCUGUGCUGUGAAACUGCUGUCUGCCUUGAAGCACGGUAAAUGCAUUCUCUGAUCCUUUUUCCCUUUUGGUCUUAAAAGGUGGAUUCAAGAUAACUGCCAAACAAUGAAGCAUGCUCCACUCCUAAAUUAUGAUGUUAAUUUUAGGAUAAAGGCAGAGAUUUAGUUAACUUUCAUGGUGCUUAGCAAGUCCCAACGGUACUUGAUGGUAAAACAGAACUCCUCCACUACGCUCCACUGGCAGUAAAUGAGAUAAAAGAUCUCGCCUGGUGACAAGCGUUCCUCAUACAUUCCUUUGCAAGUGGUGAGACAAGAUUUUCCCAUAUAUCCCUCAGACUCCCAGAAUGGAGAGAAGCUCUUCUGCACUACAGGUUCGUGCGUAAAUCUUAAAGAAAGCUCAGAGAGGUCCUUGGUUUCAAUUGCCACACAGUGCUCCUACAUAUGAUACGAAAUACCAUUCGUGGUUUUUUACAUACUGGGAAUGAAGGUAGCCUGUUGAUGCAAUAAUAAUUGAAUCCCAAGCCUGCAUGAGCAAAGAAUGCCAUCCACGCCUUUGGAUGUGGAUGGAUGUUUAAUCCCUUUGCAGUGGAUUAAACUGCAUUUAUAAAUCUAAGUGUUUUGAAUCACUUAAAUUUAAAUUGUUGUUUAAUUCAAAGUUCAAUAAUUUAAAUCAUCAGAAAGAACCAGUAUUUAGAUAAUCAAUUUAUUCUUAUUUAAAUCUAUUUGUAUUAUUAAAGAAAAUGAAACUUGGUGAUCGAUACACAAACAUAUUGAUAAGAAUCGACUUAGACUGAAUUUGCACUUCCAUUUGCCACUUUCUAUAUAUAUCAGUGAUGCUUUAGUUGAGGUUUUUAUAUUCUUCCUCUUUUGUUAUACUAGAAAGGGAAAGUGAAUCUUUUUCUCUUAAUUAAAUGAACAUCAAAUUCUUACUCUUAGUUGUACGUUGAACCUACAUGGGAGAAAAAAAUACUAAUAUUCAACCAAGUAUGCACCUCCUCAGACGCUGUGUAUUACUGACAUUUAAAUUAAACUAUUUGCCUAGCUUGUUUAUAUUACAUAUGGAUAUAUUUAAAAAGCACAUCAUUUUCUGGAAUGAAAUACCAAAUUGUUUGGUUUUGGCAACCAAGCCAUCUAAAAUGUUAAAACCACUUUAAUCUCAUCCUUUUAUAUCCAGAAAUUUACUUAAAGAUCAGAAGGAAAGAAAACUAAAUAUUUCCUGCUUUCAUGUUUCUAGGUAAUUUUAACUCUUUACAAAUUUGUCUCGUAAGUCAAAAAAAAUAAAUGAAUAAAUGUAAAUGAAAUCACAAACUAUUUCUGCAGAAGACAGCACUUAUGCCUAAAGCUAGUUUAGCAUCUCCCAAACUUUUGUUCCAGAUCAAUGAUUUCACCACUCCUGUUUCUUAGAUGCAAACUGGUAGAGCUUUAAUGUUAUGUGUGCAAACCAAAAAGUCCCUGUAAGGGAACCAUGGUAUCCGGAAGCAGCACUGUGGUGUGCCUGGCCGCCCCUCCCUAGAUUCUUCCCCCACACACUUUGGUUGUCUUCCUUCCUUCCCAUCCACAGGGGAACUAAUAAACCCAGCUCUGACUCCUAACAUCACUACCUCACUACUGCUAAGCAGACACUAAUGACAUUUUUUCCCUUCUUUCUCCUGUUUCCCUGUGGGAAAGAUUCAUAAUGAUCUUUGCAUAUGGUACUGCCACUCUAAGUGGGGAGAAAUAAUAAACUCUGCAAUUCCACCUCUUCUCUGCCCAUCUCUCUGGGAGGGUAGAUUAAUGGUGAGCCUACAUCUUCUCUCCACCUCCCUCAGAUAAAAGGUUAAUAAACCACUCAGCAUUUGCUUUUCAUGGAAAUGAUAUGUGGGGAUUAAUUAGCAUUUCCUAGGUAACACAUUAAUACCAUUGUGAGUUCUCAAUACCAGGUUGUUUCAGAGACCUAUUAUAAAAUUUUAACCCAAAGGCAGUUGAGGAUUCUUUCAUUUUAGGGCUGAACAAAUAAAUUUUGGCUAUGACUACAGAUCUAACUUGGCCUAGAAUUCAACACAUACAGGGUACUGUCAUUUGAUCAGAAGCAUGACCAGGAGAUAAGUGGCCUAGUUAGAAGCGUUCACUUUUGCGAUCACUGGCAACAGGCCUGUAUGCUUUAAGACAAUUUAUCUUUGAUCAUGGUUGGAGGAUACCUACCUACAUCAGCAUCAGGAUAUUCUACAGCUGCAUCUUGCAUAGUUUCUUGUACCCUCCAUAAGCAAAUUAGGUUCAACUGUUAGCAAAGUGUUGGACCACUAUGCUGGGCCUUAAUGGCCCUGUAGUUGGCUACACUGUAAUAAUACAACAAAACAGAAAUGUUGUUCAUUAGACAGGAAUCCAAGUGUUUUAUUUGUCCCUGUGCAAGUUACGGUGCAGUGACGGCUCAGAAGCCGGGGCUCACCCUCUUCCCCUAUCGGCCCUGUUACUGCCCUGACCCUAGAGAUUCCUCUCUGCAUAUUUGUGCUGUUUCAACAGGAGGGGCAGAGCCCCUUCAGCCUGGAGCUUAGGGUGGUCUCAGAAGGGAUGGAUGUUCAUUUCUGUCAAGUGUAGAGGACACUCCAAGUUUUCAGUUCCUUGCACCUGCAGUGAGGUAUUUUUGUGCAAAGGUGGGAGAUGGCACCAGCAGCAAGGACAGAACCACCCCUGAUACAUUCGUCUUUGAAAGAGGGCAACUGCAGGAACAAAUGUGGAAGGAGGUGCCUGAAGUAGUCCUAAGUGCUCACUCCAAGUCAGAAAACAGAAAAAAAAUAUUUUUUUUCAUUUCCCCUGUUUAUUACUAAACAGGAAACCCCGUUUCUUACUGGCCAGCAGUAGGCAAUUCUGGGUCAGACCCCAAGAAGCUUCAGAUCCAAUUCAAGGAUAACACAAAGGUGAAAGGAGAAUAACAAUGGCAAGGGACCAACCACCUAACAUUAAGAAGAAAAAUGGAUGUCUAAACUUCAGUUUCCAUACCAACAUUGCAAAUGUCAAAAAGCCUUUCCAGAAUUAGCUAGGACUUACUCAUUAAAACUGUUAUUUUUUAAAAAAGACAAAGAUAGCUAUAUACAUACAUAUGCUAUAGAAAAGAAGGCAAAACUAAAAAAUAUGCUGAAAAAAAAAAACAUUCUGUAAUUUCAUGUUUGUCUGACUUGAUUAUAUUUCCAAGAAGGCAUCAUGUGGUUUUAGAGCAAGACAUGUGCCAAAUUAAUAAGAGUCCAAGACUCAAAACAGAAGCACAAGUAAGUACUACAAAAUCAAAAAUCCCCAAACUAUAAGCAGUCUCUACUGUCUGAAACUGCAAAUGCUUUGGAAGAAAAUAUUACUUAACUGAAACACAAACAUGUAUAAAAAAAGUAUUCUUCUUCAUCUGGUAUUCAUGCGAAACUUUUGCUCGAGUCUCCAAGCAGCAGUCCACAAUUUUAUUUUAUUUUUUAUCUUCCAGCACAAGAAACAAAAGGGGUGCCACUGGGGAUAGGAGGAAGAAAAUCUUGAAGAGCUGGCUCAGAGUAACUAAAUACUUCAAAUCUAAAUUUUAGUUACUUCAACAUGUUUGGAAGCGAUGCAGCUUGGCAGAGAGCCAUCCUCAUCCCAACAAGUGUACCUCACCAGCUGGCAUGACACAGACAAGAGCCCCCAACACCUCAGGAGGGAACAGCAAGGAACAGACCGGGUGAAUUAAUGUGGCACUCCAGGUUGCAUGCCUGGGCAAAACUGUUUGUUCUUCAGCUCUGAUUUCAAAAUCAGUCAGCAUUUAUAUUUUAUUGUUUUACAGUUUGGCAAGAUCAAGCACAGAUCAGCUUAUAAAAUACUAUAUUGCUUUUCUUCAAGGUUCAGGGAGGGUAAGGAAGCAUAGUAACGUUAAGUAGUUACACAGCUUGGCAGUUCUGGGCACACUCACGUUUUAUGCAAUAUUAUACUCUGGCAGCUGUUGAAGUUACUAUGUAAACCAAGACAAAUAAAAUUGUGUAGCCAACAUCAAAGUAAACCUUGUGUGCAUUUGCAAGACAAGGCGGGGCCUGCUGAAAUGCCACAUAUGGGCUACACUGGGAAGAGGGGGACAGGGAAGGAUGUCUGCAUGCCACGCACUCUGUGGGGACACAGCAGGCCCAUGGGGCAAGGGUUGGUGGAGAACAACGGGUGCAAAUGCAUCAACCAUGCUGCAGAACUGAUCAGGGUUCAGGCCACAGACCACAUUUCUGCAGGUACGGGCAAAAUAAAGUUGGAAACAAGGCCCAAAGAAAUCUACAAUCUACUGAAGAAAAGGGGGAAAAAAAAAAGACACAUGAACUAAAGAAUUCUCUCUUAUCCUGACUGGCCACUAAAUCAACAUUGACUUGAAUGCCUUGAUACUUGUGGAAGAUUAAGAAUUGCC